rnacentral:tRNA from 1 species
GUGGCUGUAGCUCAGCGGUUUAGAGCGUCCGCCUGUGGAGCGGAAGGCCGGGGGUUCAAAUCCCCUCAGUCACCCCA